rnacentral:lncRNA from 1 species
GCAUCCUUAUGAGAAGAGGGAGAGAGAAGACCAUGUGAGGACACAGUGGGAAGGCCGCUGUCUGCAAGCCAGGCAGGGAGCUCUCCCCGGAAACGGAACCUGCUGGCACCGUGAUCUUGGCCUCCAGCCUCCAGCACCCCGAGAGAUGAGUGCUAUGAAACUGCUGCCGGGAACAAGAGAGCAGACUCAUAUGGAGAUGCAGAGGAAGCCUUUCUCGCUGGUCACCUGGGCUCGGGGUUUCCUGCUAGUUUCAAACGGCUGGGAGUAGCGAAAUCUAUGGUUGCGUUUUACCAUCUCCUCCCAAACUCUCCCUGAGGAUUGUUGAAAUGCAGCCCAGAGACGGAGACUGAGGCUCUGGGAGGUGAGGCGACCUGUGCAAGAUCACACAACUCGUCAACACAUCAAAAGGCCACUUCAGUCAACACAGUCAGGAUUCUGACGACCUCCGGCUUUACGUGAUUCAUAUGGAUGGGAUUUUUUUUUUAAUAUGUCGAAGAUUUCUACCAAGUUUGGGCUAAUUCUUCUCCACUUCACUUCGUAACAACAUUCAAGCUACGCUGCACUUGUCUCUGUCCAGCUCCCUACUGCUUCAGCCAGAGGAAACUGAGUCCGAGAGAGACGAUGGAGGGGAGAGCCAGCGCAGCACAGGCUGGGCUGCCCACCCCCUAGAAGAUGAAAUGCUAUGGCUGGAAUUACUUCAAAAUAAUCCAGAUUUGGGAGAGGAGAGAAUGGAUGGGGACAAAGAUCAGACACGACUGGUCACACACUGAUCCCUGUUGACAUUGCACACGGUGCUCCUUACAUUAUUCUGUUUGCAUAUGUUUGAAACUUCCC